rnacentral:rRNA from 1 species
UCUAAUACCGAAUAUGACCAUGCGCCUCCUGGUGUGUGGUGGAAAGCUUUUGCUGGUGUGGGAUGGGCCCGCGGCCUAUCAGCUUGUUGGUGGGGUAAUGGCCUACCAAGGCGACGACUGUGGUAGCCGGCCUGAGAGGGUGACCGGCCACACUGGGACUGAGAUACGGCCCAGACUCCUACGGGAGGCAGCAGUGGGGAAUAUUGCACAAUGGGCGCAAGCCUGAUGCAGCGACGCCGCGUGAGGGAUGACGGCCUUCGGGUUGUAAACCUCUUUCAGCACAGACGAAGCGCAAGUGACGGUAUGUGCAGAAGAAGGACCGGCCAACUACGUGCCAGCAGCCGCGGUAAUACGUAGGGUCCGAGCGUUGUCCGGAAUUACUGGGCGUAAAGAGCUCGUAGGUGGUUUGUCGCGUUGUUCGUGAAAACUCACAGCUUAACUGUGGGCGUGCGGGCGAUACGGGCAGACUUGAGUACUGCAGGGGAGACUGGAAUUCCUGGUGUAGCGGUGGAAUGCGCAGAUAUCAGGAGGAACACCGGUGGCGAAGGCGGGUCUCUGGGCAGUAACUGACGCUGAGGAGCGAAAGCGUGGGGAGCGAACAGGAUUAGAUACCCUGGUAGUCCACGCCGUAAACGGUGGGUACUAGGUGUGGGUUUCCUUCCUUGGGAUCCGUGCCGUAGCUAACGCAUUAAGUACCCCGCCUGGGGAGUACGGCCGCAAGGCUAAAACUCAAAGAAAUUGAGCGGGGGCCCGCACCAAGCGGCGGAGCAUGUGGAUUAAUUCGAUGCAAACGCGAAGAACCUUAUCCUG